CCUACGGGAGGCAGCAGUGAGGAAUAUUGGUCAAUGGACGAGAGUCUGAACCAGCCAAGUAGCGUGAAGGAUGACUGCCCUAUGGGUUGUAAACUUCUUUUAUAUGGGAAUAAAACGUUCCACGUGUGGGAUUUUGUAUGUACCAUAUGAAUAAGGAUAGGCUAACUCCGUGCCAGCAGCCGCGGUAAUACGUAGGAUCCGAGCGUUAUCCGGAUUGAUAGGGUUUAAAGGGAGCGUAGGUGGAUUGUUAAGUCAGUUGUGAAAGUUUGCGGCUCAACCGUAAAAUUGCAGUUGAAACUGGCAGUCUUGAGUACAGUAGAGGUGGGCGGAAGUCGUGGUGUAGCGGUGAAAUGCUUAGAUAUCACGAAGAACUCCGAUUGCGAAGGCAGUUCACUGGACUGCAACUGACACUGAGGCUCGAAAGUGUGGGUAUCAAACAGGAUUAGAUACCCUUGUAGUC
rnacentral:rRNA from 1 species